CGCGGGAGGGGAGGGGGGAGGGGACCCGGCUGCUCCAGGCGUCUGGCCGCCCCGGGCCGCCUGGCCCCGCUCCCGCGGCCCGGUGUGCCCUGACGAGGGAAUCCGGCCCCCUGGUCGUUCCUUGGCCAGACAAGCGCGCCGCCUGAGCGGCCCCCAGCUCUCCGUGGAUCGGAGCGCCUGGCCCCAGUGGGAUUCUUACCAGCUGGGCCCCUGGACUGGACGCCUGGGAGCAGGACGGAGGGACGCCCAGGACGGAGAGACAGGCACCGGCUCUUGCCGGACCCUCCGUGAAGGCCCAGCCCACUAGGAACUUAUGCUCUUGGCCUCUAGGUGGGCCAGGCACGAAGACCCCUUAGACGCAGGUCCCCUGAGUGUACAGGGAGGCAUCUGGAGACACUUCCCAAGAGGUUACCUGAACUGGGCUUUGGAGAAGGAGUCCUGAAGGGAGGCAGCAGGGGAAAGGCGAGGAGGGUUUGCAGAGGCCCCUGCAGCAGGAAGAGGGGCAAAGGUGGUCAGAGAGGUGGACUCGGUGAAGCUGACCUGGAGACAUCGGUUCCCAGCCUACAUCACCAACUUGGUCUCCAUUGUCUUCGUGGGUUAGACAUCGCUUGGAGCCUCGAGCCAGGAUGUGCCCUUGAUGACUGCAGCCUGGGGCUUGCGUGGCUCAGGGGCUGCUGGGGUAGACCAUGGAGGACAUGGGCAGCGGGAGCUCAAUGCCAUGGAGACUGGCUCCCUGCCAGCAGAGUGGUCAGCUCCCCCACACACAGGCUGUCAGCAUCUGGGCCCUGGCUGCCCGCCCACUGCUGGCCUGGGCUCGUUUGAGUGCCCUGCCUGCUUGGCCAGAUGUCCAGUAGGCUUUGGACAGAGCCAUCUAACCUGGGGCGGAACCCAUGGGCUGUCAGAGGCCUUCACCCACCCCUUCACCCAGCACAAGGUCACCACCGAGCCAAGCUAGGAGGAAGGGACAGAAAGGCUGGACUCUCCAGCCAGCAGACCGGCGACACGUCGGCCCAGACAGAGCUGGAGUCCUUGGCCAGCACCAAGGGCUCUGCUGGGGUGGCCCCUGAUGACCCACUCUGCCAGCAGCACCAGGCUGCGCCCCGACACCAGGCUGCACCCCGUAGCAUCACCGGAGGCAGGGUGUUGUUGCUGCAGAGUACAGCACUGAGAUGGCCCGGUGAGCUCAUCUGAGCUCUGAGACCUUGGGCAGACCAGACCUCCACACACAGGCUGCAGUUGAAGAAAGUGCUCCAUCCUUCCUCCCGGCUCCGGUGUGCUGACCCCAUCCCUUCCUGACGUCCUACCCACAGAGAUGAGAUCCAUCAGGCCAGUCACUCUCCCCUAGGGGUGGUCUCGUUCCCCAGAGACAUCUUUGUCUAACAUGCCUGGGGCAGGUGUUACUGGCCCCUCCUACAAGGCACAGAAAAGCCCUCCCACCGCCACAACAGAGAAUUAUCUAUCCCCGGAUGUCAAUAGGGCAGAGGUUAAGACACCAUGAUUUAGGUUAACAAGGUCUUCUCUUAAAAUGCAAAUAUUUCUGGUAAGUUAACCAUCCACACCUUAGCAUAAAAUAGUGCAAAUACGUGGAUUUUUCUCCCUAAGGCUCCUAACAAUACCCAAGCCAAGCGAUGAGCAUUUUCAUGGGAAAGGAGGCAGGAAUCUGGGAGGGGUUGGAAAGGAGGGCGCCCCGCCAAGGGCUUUGGGCAGGCGAGCAUCUGUAUGGGGGUCCACACAGGUCGGGCUCAUCAUCAGCUCGUGGUCAGAGCGUAGCACAGUAGCCCCGCACCUUCCACAAUGCUCUCUUCUAGCCUGAUGACAAAACACUACUCUCACCCCAUCACAGAACGAUGGAGUCUUUGCGGUUUCACAGUUCGGAGGCUUAAUUUACAUGUGUGACUUUGGGCAAGUUGCUGAACCUCUCUGUACCACGGUUCCUCAGCCUGUAAAUGGGGCCUAAUAACAGUACACACAUCACAGGGUUGUUAUGACAGUGAGAUGAGUUAAGGGUUGUAAAGCAUUUAGACCGAGCCUGGCACGAGGGAGACUUCUAUCAGCAUCAAAGGAAACACAAAUGAAUCCGUCCCAGGGCGGGCUCUGAGUGCAUUGAAUCUACAGCGUGUACCGCCUUCCUCCACCAAGACGAAGACCGUGGGUGUCGGGAGACACACAGAGUGAAGACAGGGAGGAGACAGGGCACCCAAGGCACCCAACGUCCCGGGAGCACCCCCACCCCAGCAGAGACGGCCGCAGCCGUCUGGGAAAGCUGGGGGACACGGGAGAGCCAUUUUACCCAGACGGCAGCCCUAAGGGUGCAGACAGCUGCCGUGCGGGCCCCACCCGCUCUGGGGAGCAAGAGGUUUGCUCAAAGGCCAGGAGGUGAACGGAGACAUUUUACAACCCCCACCACGGGACCCCUCUGCGCCACCUCCCCUCCCUCCGCGUGCCCCCGGCUCCCCGUUUGGUUCAGCGCUGCCCUACACCGUGCAGGCAGCUGAGCCCUGGAACCCAGGGGCCCCGGCCCGCCUGACAGGCGCAGUUUCGAGUGGCGGCUGGCUGUCGCCAGAUCCCAGGGUGGGCUCUCCGGGCCAGGCACCCCACCAGGGCCAUCGGGCACUGUGUGCCAGCCCACAGCCCCCAAGCCCCCUCCUGGGAGCCUGGGGGAACAAAGCUCCCCUUCCAACCAGAGCUGCCAGCAUCGACCCCUCCGAGUAUCUUCAGGGCCACAGCCCAGAGACUGACUGGCACUCGCCCUCACUGACCCCUCCGGGCCCACCCACUCUGCCCAAGGUGGACACAGGAUAAGGAGAACCCAGAUGCCAUCACCUCCCCCAACCCUUGCUUUGGCCCCCACUCAGACCCAGUCCGGGCCCAGACCCUGCUGUGAUGAGGCUGAUUGGGCCUCCUGGCUGGCCGCCACCACGGCCCGACUCCCGGCCCGCGAGCCCGUGUCUGGGCUGGUCUUGACUCGAGGCCCCCUCCACCCUCUUUCACCUCCUCCCCCGCUGACCCCCACCAUGAGACACCAGGAGCAGCAAGUGAGGCCAGGAAAGGAGCCAGCACCCUGAAUCUCCUACUGACACCGUGCUCCGCUCCCACGGACUCACCCCAGCGGCGUUGGGAGCAACCGAGACAUCGUACCCCUGACGGUGCGCCCGCCCCCGCUAGCCUCUCCCCGCAGGGCUAUGGGACAGAGAGGACUGCCAGCAAGGCCUGGACCCGGCCUCCCACAGAUGCCUCCCAGGAGCUCAGCUCUGACUCUGCAGCCUGCCAGCGGCACAGGAAGGGCCAGGACACGUGCUCGUGUGUGCACGCACAUCACCUACACCCUCAGGCACUUGCACACACACGUGCACACGCACACCGCACCAGCUCCCGAGGGCUCCGCGACGCCCACCGAGUUCUCCCCACACCCCACGGAGCCACACACGGAUGCGCAGAGUUCUACAUCCGGGUCACGCACAGGAACGCAGAGCCCACACUGGGAACGCACCAGGGGCACUCCCGUGGUCCCACUCUGAGCCACACUAGGGCACCCAGGAGGGGACUCACCCACGGCCACCCACAAGACGGUGGCUCUCUUGUGAGAAACCCCAAAAUCCCAUUGUUGGGGUCUGAAACUGCUGCUCAGACCCAAAACUGUCACUGCCAGGGCUACCCUGGACCCUGGGGGACGGUGAGAACACGCUUUCUGCUUUGAGGGGAGGGCACCAGGAGCCCCGGGCAGACAAGGGCAGGAGACAUCAGAUUUGGCCAGCUCAGCAGGACCCCACAGACUCAUGAAUUUUUCAGAGGCACCCAAAGUGAAGAGCGAAGCUGCCAAUGGGGUCCCGGGGGUCCUGCUUUAAAUUAUUCACAGCCGAGCAAGGGUGGUAGCAUCUGGCCCCAAGGCCCGACUUCAGGUGUAGCCUCCCUGAGCCCCGGCCGGAGCCAGCCCUGUGGCCGGCAGGCAGGGCACCUCCCUGGGCCUCCACAUCUUCCUCGGCAGUCCAGGCACACGAGCCCUUUUUGGGUGCCACUCCGUGUCCCCGGCUUGGGCCCCCAGGCCUCAGGUUGUGGCCCCCCCACUCCAGGCGGCACGGUAGGGCUGUGGUGCCCAGCUGCCCACGGGGCUCCUCAAGCUGACACCCUACCCCCAAGCCUGGUGGACCCUGCCCCUUACCCUGCUCAGCAGCCCCUGCUUGCGGUAGGAAAGGGCCCCCCCCCACCACUGGGGCAAAGGAAGGCCCCCCAGCUCCCUCCACACCCCAAGCCUGCACCCCCACCUGACUCCUGCAGGCCACGGCCAUGGCUCCAGCGGCCACUCCGGAGCUGGACAGCGGCAGAGACAGGAGGGGAGCCCACCGGCCACACCUGCGAGCACGCACUUAGUGCCGCUCAUUCAGACAUCUGCUCUGUCCCUGGCGCCUUGCUACCUGCAAUGCUACUGAGACCAGGGGCUGUCAAAGCUCGGUCCGGGCCCCUCAGGUCCCAAGAACCUUCUAGAAGGUCCUAGAGGUCGAAACUGCUUCCAUAGUCCUAUCAAGACCUUUUCUCUGUCACUACUGUUCUCUCUUAUAUGUGGAGUUUUCCGGAGGCCGUGACGUGUGAUGACGCCACACAUUUGUCACUAUGUGACGGGGUGAGAACCGAGGGCCAGAGUGUCACACGAGAGGCUGUGCGAGUCCCCCCACCCCAGCCCUCCCCUGUGACGGGGGCUCAUCUCCCUGCAGUGUCUCAAGCCCGAGGUGUGGCCAGUGCCCACCGGACCCCAGGAACCCACCUUCCGAGUGUGGGCAGCUCCAGGAACAGCCUGGGCACUUCGCGCCGUCCUGCUGGCAGGGUGCUGGAGGCAGGGGAGCCCCCUUGCUGGACCCCGGGGAAAAUCCCGGGGAGGCGUGCUGCCCCUGUGGAGGCCCAGAGCCACCGCACCCCGCCGGGCUGAGGCCCCAGGUUUCUGCCUCCUCCAGCCACGAUCCCCUGCCCGUCCCGUGGGCCAUACGCUGAGCCUGGUACCAGGCAAGGGUGCUCCAAGGCCCAGAGCCCUGCCAGGCUCCAGAUCCGGGCGCUUGGACCUUCCUGGGCCUGCCUCCAUCACCUCACCCGGGGCCAGCAGAGGGGCUGUGAGCACAGACCUCUGGUGGGCAGGACCUGACCUCGUCCUACCUGAAGUGUCUAGGUGACCAGGACUCCCAGAGGGAGCCAGGUGGUGACAGCUUGGGACAGGAGGGCAGGGACCACUACAAACCAUGAAGUGCUUUCACCCCAGUGGGGCUUUCUUUCACUCGUACCCUGUCCCCGGCUCACAGCUUUCUUCGACUUGACAGCCUCCUGGAGCAGACACAUUGCAGGGUCAGCGGGUCCCCCACUGGUGGCGGUAGCCUGCAUCAGGAGGCACCUGGUCUCCCAAGGUCGCAGACAAAACAGACAGUCCAGUUUGAAUCUCAGAUAAAGAACAAGUACUUUUCUGGUGUGAAUACUGUAUACGACAUAUUAAAGAAUUAUCCACUGUUUAUCUGAAAUCCAAAUUUGACUGGGUUUCCUGUGUCUGUGUUUUCCUGCUCAGGCCAUCUCCGUUGGCGGCCUCCACGGAUCAACCCAGACCCUUCCCACGUGGUUCUGCCCCACCAGUGCCACUGCCCGGGACACAGACUGGGAACCGCACUCUGCCUGGCUACUCGGCCCUUCCUUCUCAUCACACGCUGUUCAUGCGCCUUCCUGAGACCCAUGGUCACUUUGGGACAGGUGGGGACACACAGCGGCCCCUCCGCGGCCCAUCUCUCCUGGCUGGCAGCCUCACCCAGUGUGGUGGCCUGCCUGUGCCCCCGCAGGUUUCCCAAUCCCGGGAACCUUGAUGGGGCCUGUGUGGCCAGAAAGGGUCCUGCGGAAGUGACUAAAUCCUGGACCUCAAGAUGAGGAGACUAGCCCGGACUAUCAUGUAAGCCAACUACAUGCACCCUUAUAAGAGGAGACGGAGAGAGAUCUGACACACAGAAGGGAUGCCACGUGACCAUGGGGCAGACAUUGGAGGGACGCAGCCACAAGCCAAGCCACUUUUGGAGCCACCGGAAGCUGCGAAAGGUGAGGAACAGACCCUCCCUUAGAGCCUCUGGGGCGAACACAGCCCUGCCAAGGCCUGAAUUUUGUCCCACUGGUGGUGACUUUGGCCGGUAAGAGAGGACACCUCUGUCAUUUUAAGCCACCGGUUUGAGGUGAUUUGUUGCAGUGACCCUAGGAGACUCACAUGGUUGGCCUGCUGCCCACCCUGGAGGGGAAGCCCCCAGCCCAUUCCCCACCACAGGCAACGGCGUCUGCACUGUGAGCCUGGGUGACCCAGCUGCCCACCCCCACCCCCACCCCGAGCUCCUUCUGCAACACCAACACCGGGCACAGGC